UACAGAGGUCCCAAGCGUUGUUCGGAUUCACUGGGCGUAAAGGGUGCGUAGGUGGUGGGGUAAGUCGGAUGUGAAAGCUCGGAGCUCAACUCCGAAAUGGCAUUGGAAACUACCCUGCUAGAGGGUCGGAGGGGGGACUGGAAUUCUCGGUGUAGCAGUGAAAUGCGUAGAUAUCGAGAGGAACACCAGUGGCGAAGGCGAGUCCCUGGACGACUCCUGACACUGAGGCACGAAAGCUAGGGGAGCAAACGGG
rnacentral:rRNA from 1 species